AUUGAACGCUGGCGGCAGGCCUAACACAUGCAAGUCGAGCGAGCGGCGGACGGGUGCGUACUGUCUGGGAAACUGCCUGCUGGAGGGGGAUAACUCCUGGAAACGGUAGCUAAUACCGCAUACCAUCUGAUUUGCCCAGAUGGGAUUAGCUAGUAGGUGGGGUAAUGGCUCACCUCGGCGACGCUCCCUAGCUGGUCUGAGAGGAUGACCAGCCACACUGGAACUGAGACACGGUCCAGACUCCUACGGGAGGCAGCAGUGGGGAAUAUUGCACAAUGGGCGCAAGCCUGAUGCAGCCAUGCCGCGUGUAUGAAGAAGGCCUUCGGGUUGUAAAGUACUUUCAGCGAGGAGGCGUUACUCGCAGAAGAAGCACCGGCUAACUCCGUGCCAGCAGCCGCGGUAAUUC
rnacentral:rRNA from 1 species